rnacentral:ncRNA from 1 species
ACAACGGCAGUGAAGAGAAGAGUACAUUUACAGGUACGUUACAGAGAGCUUCGGCAGGUGAAAGGAAGCACGGGGAAGUAAAUGGAAGAUGGUCUCGGAGCCUCGCACCGACUGGGGAUAAUUCUCCACAGGCUGCGAUGGGAGCGCCCAUUACAGCGCCAGGGUAUAAGGAAGAUUCCCGUACCCGCAGAGGUCUUUGCCGCAAGGCGGAGAUAAAGUAAGGUGGUACCGUGAGGCAUAUGCCCUCGCCCUUAUG